AUGAAAAUAAAUUCGGUUUGAUUAGCUGUUGGCUUACCUGUCCUAUUCCUUCUUCUUGACGAAUGAAACUCGAUUGGCUGCACUCAAUUAUUUGUUUGAAUGAAAGCUUUGUUUUGUUUGUGUUGUUGUUACGUUGAUUUUGCGUCGUGGACUUUGAGGAGAUCCAAUAUAGCACCUUGUUUCUAUUUCUAUUUUUGCACGGCCACGGGGGGACUUGCGGAGCAGAUCAAGAGUUCUGGAACUAGAAAUAAAGAACGAACACUUCAGGAAAUGGGGGCGGGGAGGAAAAUUUCAUGUCUUUCCCUUUGUCACUUGGUUGCAGUGUUAGCCUUUUCUCACUUGAUUGCUGUAUUCGGGGCGCAAAAACAGCUGCGUUUUGGGCAAAAUGGACAGUUCAAGAUACUGCAAGUGGCGGAUAUGCAUUUUGCAGAUGGCAAGACUACUCCUUGCUUGAAUGUGUUCCCGAGUCAGAUGCGUACUUGCUCUGACCUCAACACCACUGCCUUUGUCGAGCGCAUGAUUCGAGCUGAGCAGCCCGAUUUAAUUGUUUUCACUGGUGAUAACAUCUUUGGAUUUGAUGCCACUGACGCGGCUAAAUCACUUACUGCUGCGUUUGCCCCUGCAAUUUCUUCGAACAUACCAUGGGUGGCUGUUUUGGGGAACCAUGAUCAACAAUCGACCUUGUCAAGAGAAGGAGUUAUGAAGCAUAUUGUUGGCCUUAAAUCCAAAGAUGUUAUCACCAGUGAAAA
rnacentral:misc_RNA from 1 species